rnacentral:snRNA from 1 species
AGGCUCAUUUUGGUAGCACAUAUGCUAAAACUAGGAAAGUACAGAGGUUAGCAUGGCCCCUGUGUAAUAAUGAAAUAAAAUUCAUAAAGUGUUUCACAUUUUA